GAAGAGAAAGUGUUCUUGACAUCUGGGCCACGAUGGUUUGUUUACCAUUUUAUGUCUAUAAACUAUCGUUGCCAGACGACACGAGCACCUUCGCCUUC
rnacentral:pre_miRNA from 1 species